rnacentral:rRNA from 1 species
UCAGGAUGAACGCUAGCGGCGUGCCUAACACAUGCAAGUCGAACGGAGUUCUUAAGGAAUGCGGCUUCGGUCAAAUGACUUUGAACUUAGUGGCGGACGGGUGAGUAACGCGUGAGCAACCUGCCUUUCAGAGGGGGAUAACAUUUGGAAACAGAUGCUAAUACCGCAUAAGAUUACAGUACCGCAUGAUACAGUGAUCAAAGGAGCAAUCCGCUGAAAGAUGGGCUCGCGUCCGAUUAGAUAGUUGGUGAGGUAACGGCUCACCAAGUCGACGAUCGGUAGCCGGGACUGAGAGGUUGAACGGCCCACAUUGGGACUGAGACACGGCCCAGACUCCUACGGGAGGCAGCAGUGGGGAAUAUUGCACAAUGGGCGAAAGCCUGAUGCAGCAACGCCGCGUGAGGGAAGACGGUUUUCGGAUUGUAAACCUCUGUUUUCGGUGACGAACAAAUGACGGUAACCGAGUAGGAAGCCACGGCUAACUACGUG